GGAGAAAUCUAAACGGCCGCGGAAUUUUAACCGUGCUAAGGUAGCAUAAUCAUUUGUUCUUUAAUUAAGGACUUGUAUGAAUGGUUAAACGAAAUAAAGCUAUCUAUAAAGUAUUAAAUAAAAAUUAUUUUUAAAGUGAAAAAUCUUUAAUACAGUAAAAAGACAAAAAGACCCUAUAGAGUUUUAUUCAUCACUAUAAAUAAAUAUAAAUGAAUUUAGUUGGGGCAACUAAUGAAAAAAGAAAUUUCUUUUUAUUAGCUAAAAAUAUAAUCAUUAAUUUAAUAAUAUAAAAUAAAUUACCUUAGGGAUAACAGCGUAACUUUUUUUGAGAGUCCAAAUCGAAAAAAAAAAUUAC
rnacentral:rRNA from 1 species